GCUACGGUAGAGUAGUAGUUUGAACUCGUCGCCAUCCCAGCAUACGUUUGGGUUUCCUUAAAAGGCGAAGACCGUGGGUGCAAAUCCCACCCGUAGCA